UACGUAGGGUGCGAGCGUUGUCCGGAUUUAUUGGGCGUAAAGAGCUCGUAGGCGGUUUGUUGCGUCUAUCGUGAAAACCUGCAGCUUAACUGUGGGCUUGCGGUGGAUACGGGCAGACUUGAGUUCGGUAGGGGAGACUGGAAUUCCUGGUGUAGCGGUGAAAUGCGCAGAUAUCAGGAGGAACACCGGUGGCGAAGGCGGGUCUCUGGGCCGAUACUGACGCUGAGGAGCGAAAGCGUGGGGAGCGAACAGG
rnacentral:rRNA from 1 species